UGGUGCUUGUCCGGGCGAAGUACAAGGCCAUUGGGCUCGUCGCCCGGGAGUUCUGCAACCCACAUCAGUUUCUAUGACUAUAGUUUCUACUAUUGUACUCUUUGUAGUUUUUAAUGCAUAAAUUAAUCUAAUGUUGGGAGCUUUCCAAGGACUAACUAAGACAAUCAGAAUCGGAGAGGAGAGUUUCUCAACAAAAAAAAGAAUUAGAGGAGAGUCAACUAACCUUCCUUCUUGCUUCGUCACCCCCUCAUGGGUUAUGAGCUAUGACGACCAUGAUGCCGGCCGUGCGUCCGAGCGCCUGUGGUCUGUACAUCGACGACCUGCCCUUUUCUCAUUUUUUGGUCACCGAAGAGUUCGAUCGAUCAGAAACAUGGAAGGGCGAGAGUAGUCAUGUUCCUGCCCUGUGUGUGUUUUCUUUGCGCGAAAGUUCCUGUUUCAGUCAGAGAGGUAGAACAAUCAGAAAAUGAGAAGGUCUUUCACUUCCUUACAGAAUGAAAUUUCUGUCUUGCAAGUUUACAAAGUCAUCAAGUUAAGCACUUACGAUAAAAUUAUCUGACUCAGAAAGCUGAUAUCACUCAUACAAAAAAACAUGUUAUACAAUAUUGAGUUUCGACAUAGCUAUCAUAAUAGAUCUAUGCAAAAAUGUUCAGGUGCACGCAGGACAGCUAUACAAUUUUAGCAAGAAUAACAAUUUUACAUGAAAAAUGCCUGCAAGCCUGAAAGCCCAUUAUGUAAUUCCAGUACUGAAUCAUUCAGGCCCUUGUAAUGUUAUUUGAGAUUAGGUUCAUAAUAUUUGAAGGUGCAUGGUAAAGAAAGGAAAAUAACAUUACUUCCAAUGAAAUACUCUCCACAUUGUUCGUACUUGCAUUACUAUCAUGUUGGCAUGGACAUUGACAAACUGAAUCAAUUAGCCUGUAAAAUUUAUGAAUAGAUUCGGUUCUCUUCCUCUUCAUGUCUACAUGGAUGAAUCUGAAAUAUUCUAAUUAGUUUCUAUAAUUAGUUCCUAUGGCUAUAGUUUCUACUAUUGUACUCUUUAUAGUUUUUAAUGCAUAAAUUAAUCUAAUGUUGGGAGAUUUCCAAGGACUAACUAAGACAACCAGAAUUGGAGAGGAGAGUUUCUCAGCAAAAAAAGGAAUUAGAGGAGAGUCAACUAACCUUCCUUUCUUGCUUGGUCACCACCUCAUGGGUUAUGAGUUAUGACGACCAUGAUGCCGGCCGUGCGUCCGAGCACCUGUGGUUUGUACAUCGACGGCCUGCCUUUUUCUCAUUUUCUGGUCACCGAAGAGUUCGAUCGAUCAAAAACUUGGAACGGGAAGAGUAGUCAUGUUCCUGCCCUGUGUGUUUUCUUUGCGCAAAAGUUCCUAUUUCAGUCAGAGAGGUAGAACUCUGUGUCAGCAGUUGUCUUGUCACUGCAAUUUUAAAUGACCGGCAAUAAAGGUUGCUGCUUAAUUUUAGAAUGCCGUAAGUUUUCCACCUGUAGGUGUAGCAGCUAACAACUUUGAACCAUACUGAAUAAAGGAGUCAAAAUGGAAUACUUUUUGACCUCACAAUGCCUAUGAAUUUCAAGUAGCCAUUAUUUAAACACCAGACACAUUGUCCAUGCAAAAAGAGGUGAAAAAAAAUCAAAUCUGAACUGAACUUGACAGAAUUCAUAAGUUGUAUAGCUGACAAUGGGCCAUCAUAUACAACAAGAUAUAGUAAGCAAUGCAACAACACACAUGUACAAAGGGGUGAACAUGCCUAAUUGGUACUUUAAUUUAACACAUCGAAUCAUUGAGUGGUGCUAGGUCUAGUUACACAUACAGAGUUUAACAUCAAGUGGCUAAGUUAGCAAUGUCUAGCACGAAGUUAGGCAUGUGACCUUCAUGGGAAGAACUGGACAUACCGGGCCAUACCAACCUGCUUCUUCCCCCCUCUGCGCUAGCUCCAAGAUGCAUGUCUCGUCCUGGUGGAUUAACCGCGACCUCGACCACUUCGAUCCGCCGAUGCUCGGCACCGCUACCAAGAACCACCAAUCAGUCCUUGCUUGUGUCCAUGGUGAAGAUAAAGUCGCAGAAUGCAGAUCUUGGCUAACCCACCGACCACGCACACAUGCGUUGGUACGGCGCUCCGGGCGUGGCCCGACUUGUGCAGCGCGCUGAACCUUCCUCGCACGGUUCCUACACCUGCCAAGGCCAGCUGCGCGUGCCCGCACUUCCUCGGCCUCUGCUUGUUCCUGUGCCUAGCCGUAAACAUCAUCAGGUGUGUAAC
rnacentral:lncRNA from 1 species